AGACUUUGAUUAUGGCUCAGAACGAACGCUGGCGGCAUGCCUAACACAUGCAAGUCGAACGAAGGCUUCGGCCUUAGUGGCGCACGGGUGCGUAACGCGUGGGAAUCUGCCCUUGGGUUCGGAAUAACUGUUAGAAAUGACAGCUAAUACCGGAUGGUGACUUCGGUCCAAAGAUUUAUCGCCCAGGGAUGAGCCCGCGUAGGAUUAGGUAGUUGGUGGGGUAAAGGCUCACCAAGCCGACGAUCCUUAGCUGGUCUGAGAGGAUGAUCAGCCACACUGGGACUGAGACACGGCCCAGACUCCUACGGGAGGCAGCACGUGGGGAAUAUUUGGACAAUGGGGGAAACCCUGAUCCAGCAAUGCCGCGUGCAGUGCACAGAAGGCCUUAGGUUGUAAACGCUCUUUUACCAGCGGUAUGAUAAUGACAGUACCUGGAGAAUACGCUCCGGCUAACUCCGUGUCCACGCCAGUCCCGCGGUAAUUACC
rnacentral:rRNA from 1 species